CUUAUCAUGAGCGGUGGAGGAACGGGUCCUGUGAAGCCGCGGCAACCGCGCCGGUCCCUUAUCAGGCGGGCGGCGAAUGGUGCCAAGUCCUGCGGGGGUUUCCCCGGAAGAUGAGG
rnacentral:ncRNA from 1 species